AACGAACGCUGGCGGCGUGGAUAAGACAUGCAAGUCGAACGCGAUUUUUCCGGUUAGCAAUAACUGGAAAAAUUGAGUGGCGAAUGGGUGCGUAACACGUGGGAAUUUAUCCGGAAGUGGGGGAUAGCUUGCCGAAAGGCAAAUUAAUACCGCAUAUGCCCGUAAGGGCAAAGUGGGGGACCGCAAGGCCUCACGCUAUCGGAGGAGCCCGCGCCCUAUCAGCUAGUUGGUGAGGUAAUGGCUCACCAAGGCUUAGACGGGUAGCUGGUCUGAGAGGACGACCAGCCACACUGGAACUGAGACACGGUCCAGACACCUACGGGUGGCAGCAGUCGAGGAUUUUUCUCAAUGGGGGCAACCCUGAAGGAGCGACGCCGCGUGGAGGAUGAAGGGCUUCGGCUCGUAAACUCCUGUCACCGACGAACAAGGCAUUCGGAUUAAUAAAUCGGAUGCUUGAUGGUAGUC
rnacentral:rRNA from 1 species